AGUGAACGCUGGCGGUAGGCCUAACACAUGCAAGUCGAACGGCAGCACAGUAAGAGCUUGCUCUUACGGGUGGCGAGUGGCGGACGGGUGAGGAAUACAUCGGAAUCUACAUUUUCGUGGGGGAUAACGUAGGGAAACUUACGCUAAUACCGCAUACGACCUACGGGUGAAAGCAGGGGAUCUUCGGACCUUGCGCGAUUGAAUGAGCCGAUGUCGGAUUAGCUAGUUGGCGGGGUAAAGGCCCACCAAGGCGACGAUCCGUAGCUGGUCUGAGAGGAUGAUCAGCCACACUGGAACUGAGACACGGUCCAGACUCCUACGGGAGGCAGCAGUGGGGAAUAUUGGACAAUGGGCGCAAGCCUGAUCCAGCCACACCGCGUGAGUGAAGAAGGUCUUCGGGUUGUAAAGCCCUUUUGUUAGGAAAGAAAAGCAGCAGGUUAAUACCCCGCUGUUCUGACGGUACCCAAAGAGUAAGCACCGGCUAACUUCGUG
rnacentral:rRNA from 1 species